rnacentral:tRNA from 1 species
GGGGUUGUGGCUAAGUGGUAGAGCUCAACCUAGCAUGAUCAAGGCCCUGGGUUCGAUCCUCAGCACCACA